CCUACGGGUGGCAGCAGUCGAGAAUCAUUCACAAUGGGGGAAACCCUGAUGGUGCGACGCCGCGUGGGGGAAUGAAGGUCUUCGGAUUGUAAACCCCUGUCAUGUGGGAGCAAAUUAAAAAGAUAGUACCACAAGAGGAAGAGACGGCUAACUCUGUGCCAGCAGCCGCGGUAAUACAGAGGUCUCAAGCGUUGUUCGGAAUCACUGGGCGUAAAGCGUGCGUAGGCUGUUUCGUAAGUCGUGUGUGAAAGGCGCGGGCUCAACCCGCGGACGGCACAUGAUAAUGCGAGACGAGAGGAAUGGAGGGGGAACCGGAAUUCGCGGUGUAGCAGUGAAAUGCGUAGAUAUCGAGAGGAACACUCGUGGCGAAGGCGGGUUCCUGGACAUUAACUGACGCUGAGGCACGAAGGCCAGGGGAGCGAAAGGGAUUAGAUACCCCGGUAGUC
rnacentral:rRNA from 1 species